UGGGUAACGUGCCCCGAUGACUGGGACAACCCGGGGAAACCCGGGCUAAUACCGGAUAUGCCCCCUGACAUCUGUCAGGUGCGUAAAGGAAGCUUCGGCCUCCGCAUCGGGAUCGGCCCGCGGCGCAUUAGCUUGUUGGUGGGGUAAUGGCCUACCAAGGCAGCGAUGCGUAGCUGGUCUGAGAGGACGAUCAGCCACACUGGGACUGAGACACGGCCCAGACCUCCGUACGGGAGCAG
rnacentral:rRNA from 1 species